rnacentral:rRNA from 1 species
CGGGGUGGUGGGGCAACCUGCCAUUCAGUGGCGAACGGGUGAGUAAUGCAUCGGAACGUGUCCCGUAGUGGGGGAUAACCCGGCGAAAGCCGGACUAAUACCGCAUAUGCUCUACGGAGGAAAGCGGGGGACCUGAAAGGGCCUCGCGCUAUGGGAGCGGCCGAUGUCCGAUUAGCUUGUUGGUGGGGUAAUGGCCCACCAAGGCGACGAUCGGUAGCUGGUCUGAGAGGAUGAUCAGCCACACUGGGACUGAGACACGGCCCAGACUCCUACGGGAGGCAGCAGUGGGGAAUUUUGGACAAUGGGGGCAACCCUGAUCCAGCCAUGCCGCGUGCGGGAAGAAGGCCUUCGGGUUGUAAACCGCUUUUAGCCGGGAAGAAAAGGCCAAGGUGAAUACCCUUGGUUCUUGACGGUACCGGCGGAAUAAGCACCGGCUAACUACGUGCCAGCAGCCGCGGUAAUACGUAGGGUGCGAGCGUUAAUCGGAAUUACUGGGCGUAAAGCGUGCGCAGGCGGUUCGCUGUGUCCGAUGUGAAAGCCCCGGGCUCAACCUGGGAAUGGCAUUGGAAACUGGCGGACUCGAGUGUGGCAGAGGGGGGUGGAAUUCCGCGUGUAGCAGUGAAAUGCGUAGAGAUGCGGAGGAACACCGAUGGCGAAGGCAGCCCCCUGGGCCAACACUGACGCUCAGGCACGAAAGCGUGGGGAGCAAACAGGAUUAGA